ACUCAAUAAAGGUUCCAACAGCGGUAGUAAUAACAAGAGUAACAAUAGAAUAUGAUCUGAUCUCUCUGGGCCUCUGUUAGCCAGCUGUAAAUGUGACCUCUUUCCCUAUGCCUUCCAACUUUACUGAGUUCUUUUAAAAUCCAGACCAUGGGAUUGGAAAUGCCUUGAUCUUUACUGACUGAGUUGUGUAUUAAGCCCAGGCCUAGCCCUUUUAAGGGGCACUGUGUGGAACGGCCCAGGCUCUCCAGAUUGAAGCUUCUCCCUCUUCACCCUCCAGCCCUCGAGCCGCUGUGAAGCAGUCCUUGAGCAGCAGUUACAGCAGUUUCUACAGGAGCGGGAACUGCUAAAAGCACAGGUGGCAGAGGUGACGGAGUGUCUUAAGAAAGCUCAGCUAGAAAGAGAUGCAUACGCUCAACAACUCAAAACAGAGAAGGCACAGUGGCAGCAGCAAAUGCUGAAAAUGGCAGGAGAACUGAACCCCCAAUUUCAAAGCACCCAGCAGGGCCCUGUGACUUGAAGAAAAACCUAAAAACUGAAAUCAAGUACCUGAGAGAUGAGCUGCAGGAACAGGACAGACUGCAGGAGGCGAAAACGAGGCUCCGGGAGCAGGAGGUGAGGCUGAGAGAACAGGAGGAGAGGCUUCUUGAGCAGGAGGGGCUCCAGGAGCAGGAGGAGUAGCUGAUGUGCUGCCCACCUGGGGAGACUGCCCUCCUCCUCAGCCCUCCAGGCCUUUGUUUUCCCACCUGUAAAAUGGGGGAGUGUAUGAAAUGGGGCUUCUAAAGGCAGCUGUGAGCCAGAGCCCUCCUCUGAUGGCUGUGGGAGAAAGGAGACAA